rnacentral:rRNA from 1 species
AUUGAACGCUGGCGGCAUGCCUUACACAUGCAAGUCGAACGGUAACAGGUCUUCGGAUGCUGACGAGUGGCGAACGGGUGAGUAAUACAUCGGAACGUGCCUAGUAGUGGGGGAUAACUACUCGAAAGAGUGGCUAAUACCGCAUGAGAUCUACGGAUGAAAGCAGGGGAUCGCAAGACCUUGUGCUACUAGAGCGGCCGAUGGCAGAUUAGGGAGUUGGUGGGAUAAAAGCUUACCAAGCCGACGAUCUGUAGCUGGUCUGAGAGGACGAUCAGCCACACUGGGACUGAGACACGGCCCAGACUCCUACGGGAGGCAGCAGUGGGGAAUUUUGGACAACGGGCGCAAGCCUGAUCCAGCAAUGCCGCGUGCAGGAUGAAGGCCUUCGGGUUGUAAACUGCUUUUGUACGGAACGAAAAGCCCUGGGUUAAUACCCUGGGGUCAUGACGGUACCGUAAGAAUAAGCACCGGCUAACUACGUGCCAGCCGCCGCAGUAAUAC